UCCUUUUUCAAUUUCUUAUGAGCUUUAUCUAAUUUUUCAGAUUCUACAUGUAAAACAACAUAAGUUUCAUGCAAUUCACUUUCACUAUAUUGACUAUAAUUAUCAGAAUCGCUAGAUGUACUUACUUGGCUUCUAGUGUCGUCAUCUGUCACUAAACAGAUGUUUGCCUCUUCAUCAGAUUCGCUCAAAUCAAAAAUUGUUUCAUUGUCAUCGUCCCAUGCGAUGUAGGCUUUCUUUUUCUUGAAGAAUUUCUUUUCCUUUAUUUCUUCAUUCUUCUUUUGAUUUGGGCAGUCAGCUUUUAAGUGCCCCCUUUCUCC
rnacentral:lncRNA from 1 species